rnacentral:tRNA from 1 species
GCCCCGUUAGGCUAAUGGAUAAACCAACAGACUACGAAUCUGUCUUUAGAAGUUCGAAUCUUCUACGGGGCA